AGAGUUUGAUCAUGGCUCAGGACGAACGCUGGCGGCGUGCCUAACACAUGCAAGUCGAACGGAGCUUGACCCUUUCGGGGUUAAGCUUAGUGGCGAACGGGUGAGUAACGCGUGAGGAACCUGCCUUUCAGUGGGGGACAACAGUUGGAAACGACUGCUAAUACCGCAUAAUGUAUUUUGGGGACAUCCCCUGGAUACCAAAGCUUUAUGUGCUGAAAGAUGGCCUCGCGUCUGAUUAGCUAGUUGGUGGGGUAACGGCUCACCAAGGCGACGAUCAGUAGCCGGUCUGAGAGGAUGAACGGCCACAUUGGGACUGAGAUACGGCCCAGACUCCUACGGGAGGCAGCAGUGGGGAAUAUUGGGCAAUGGGGGAAACCCUGACCCAGCAACGCCGCGUGAAGGAAGAAGGCCUUCGGGUCGUAAAGUUCUGUCCUCAGGGAAGAACCCUCAUGGGAGGAAAUGCCCAUGAGCUGACGGUACCUGGGAAGGAAGCCCUGGCUAACUACGUGCCAGCAGCCGCGGUAAUACGUAGAGGGCAAGCGUUGUCCGGAAUUACUGGGCGUAAAGGGUACGCAGGCGGAUAUAUAAGUCAAAUGUGAAAGGCACCGGCUCAACCGGUGAGCGGCAUUUGAAACUGUAUAUCUUGAGUUCAGGAGAGGAGAGCGGAAUUCCUGGUGUAGCGGUGGAAUGCGUAGAUAUCAGGAAGAACACCAGUGGCGAAGGCGGCUCUCUGGCCUGAAACUGACGCUCAGGUACGAAAGCUGGGGGAGCGAACGGGAUUAGAUACCCCGGUAGUCCCAGCCGUAAACGAUGGGUACUAGGUGUGGGUGGUUUCGAUACCAUCCGUGCCGUAGUUAACGCAUUAAGUACCCCGCCUGGGGAGUACGUGCGCAAGCAUGAAACUCAAAGGAAUUGACGG
rnacentral:rRNA from 1 species